AACGUGGGUAACCUGCCUUAUAGUGGGGGAGUAGCCUUUCGAAAGGAAGAUUAAUACCGCAUAAGAUUGUAGUAUCGCAUGAUAUAGCAAUUAAAGGAGCAAUCCGCUAUAAGAUGGACCCGCGUCGCAUUAGCUAGUUGGUGAGGUAAUGGCUCACCAAGGCGACGAUGCGUAGCCGACCUGAGAGGGUGAUCGGCCACAUUGGGACUGAGACACGGCCCAGACUCCUACGGGAGGCAGCAUG
rnacentral:rRNA from 1 species